UACGUAGGGUGCAAGCGUUAUCCGGAAUUAUUGGGCGUAAAGAGCUCGUAGGCGGUUUGUCGCGUCUGCUGUGAAAACCCGAGGCUCAACCUCGGGCCUGCAGUGGGUACGGGCAGACUAGAGUGCGGUAGGGGAGAUUGGAAUUCCUGGUGUAGCGGUGGAAUGCGCAGAUAUCAGGAAGAACACCCGUGGCGAAGGCGGCUCUCUGGAACGCAACUGACGCUGAGACGCGAAAGCGUGGGGAGCAAACAGG
rnacentral:rRNA from 1 species